CCCUCUGGAUCUCGUCUCCUUCACACAUCCCCCACCGACGGAGCUCCUUCUUCAGAGAAGAAGAGCCAUUUCAAUGGCUUCUCCUUAACCAAACCAACGACCCCUGCUCUCUUCUUCUAUCCUCACACCUUUCUGCUCUCACUCCUUCACUCACGUUUUUAGCACACACAUGCGCCUGAAACAAUACAAGCACUCAAAAUUGCUAGAUUUUGAAAAUGUGGAAAAAUAAAAUCCAAAGAGCUUCAAACGAAAGUUGAAAACUAAAAUUAAAAGGCCUGCUUUCAAUUUCUUCCGGUUUUGGAGUCAAUUUCCGGGUCUGUUGAAGGAACUUUGUUGGUGUUUGUUCGCUGUUGGGAGCUCAAAAUUCAUCUUCUAUUUUAGACCCUUGCUUGUUGUAAUCAGUUUAUUUUCGGCUAUUUAGAUCCAGGUGUUGGACCCACUUGUCAACUGUUGUGAUUUUGCUGUGAGUUGCUGAGAGACGAGGUAGAGCUGCAUUUCGACCACAGAUUGAAUUGAGUUGUUUGAAGAAUUUCUUGGAAGGUAUUA